rnacentral:rRNA from 1 species
GAUGAACGCUGGCGGCAUGCCUAACACAUGCAAGUCGGACGGGAAGUGGUGUUUUCCGUGCCGGACGGGUGAGUAACGCGUAAGAACCUGCCUUUGGGUGGGGAACAACAGCUGGAAACGGCUGCUAAUACCCCUAAGGCCGAGGAGCCAAAGGAGGAAUCCGCUUGAGGGGGGGCUCGCGUCUGUUUCGUUAGUUGGUGAGGCAAUGGUUUACCAAGGCGACGAUCAAUAGCUGGUCCGAGAGGAGAAUCAGCGACACUGGGGCUGGGACACAGCCCAGAGUCCUCCGUGGGGCGGUGGUGUGGAGUGUACCGCAAUAUGCGGAAGAGUCAGAUCACUCUGCGGCGUGAAAGCAGAAGGGGCAGUAGUGAUGAACUGCUUUUUUCGGAGUAGUAAAAAUGACAGUAUCUGAGGAAUAAGCAUCGGCUAACUCUGUG